rnacentral:rRNA from 1 species
CUUUCUUUGCUGGCGACCGGCGCACGGGUGAGUAACACGUAUCCAACCUGCCCUUUACUCGGGGAUAGCCUUUCGAAAGAAAGAUUAAUACCCGAUAGUAUAAUGAUUCCGCAUGGUUUCAUUAUUAAAGGAUUCCGGUAAAGGAUGGGGAUGCGUUCCAUUAGGUUGUUGGUGAGGUAACGGCUCACCAAGCCUUCGAUGGAUAGGGGUUCUGAGAGGAAGGUCCCCCACACUGGGACUGAGACACGGUCCAA